rnacentral:rRNA from 1 species
AGCAGCCGCGGUAAUUCCAGCUCCAAUAGCGUAUAUUAAAGUUGUUGCACGUUAAAAAGCUCGUAGUUGAAUUUCGGGGUUAGUAGGUUGGUCAUGCCUCUGGUAUGUACUGGUCUCACUGAUUCCUCCUUCCUGAUGAGCCGUAAUGCCAUUAAUUUGGUGUUGCGGGGAAUUUGGACUGUUACUUUGAAAAAAUUAGAGUGUUUAAAGCAAGCUAACGCUUGAAUACAUUAGCAUGGAAUAAUGAAAUAGGACGUUCGAUCCUAUUUUGUUGGUUUCUAGGGUUGACGUAAUGAUUAAUAGGGAUAGUUGGGGGCAUUAGUAUUCAAUUGUCAGAGGUGAAAUUCUUGGAUUUAUUGAAGACUAACUACUGCGAAAGCAUUUGCCAAGGAUGUUUUCAUUAAUCAAGAACGAAAGUUAGGGGAUCGAAGACGAUCAGAUACCGUCGUAGUCUUAACCAUAAACUAUGCCGACUAGGGAUCGGAUGAUGUUAAUUUUUUAAUGACUCA